rnacentral:rRNA from 1 species
GUCGAACGCUUCUUUUUCCACCGGAGCUUGCUCCACCGGAAAAAGAGGAGUGGCGAACGGGUGAGUAACACGUGGGUAACCUGCCCAUCAGAAGGGGAUAACACUUGGAAACAGGUGCUAAUACCGUAUAACAAUCNAAACCGCAUGGUUUUGAUUUGAAAGGCGCUUUCGGGUGUCGCUGAUGGAUGGACCCGCGGUGCAUUAGCUAGUUGGUGAGGUAACGGCUCACCAAGGCCACGAUGCAUAGCCGACCUGAGAGGGUGAUCGGCCACAUUGGGACUGAGACACGGCCCAAACUCCUACGGGAGGCAGCAGUAGGGAAUCUUCGGCAAUGGACGAAAGUCUGACCGAGCAACGCCGCGUGAGUGAAGAAGGUUUUCGGAUCGUAAAACUCUGUUGUUAGAGAAGAACAAGGAUGAGAGUAACUGUUCAUCCCUUGACGGUAUCUAACCAGAAAGCCACGGCUAACUACGUGCCAGCAGCCGCGGUAAUACGUAGGUGGCAAGCGUUGUCCGGAUUUAUUGGGCGUAAAGCGAGCGCAGGCGGUUUCUUAAGUCUGAUGUGAAAGCCCCCGGCUCAACCGGGGAGGGUCAUUGGAAACUGGGAGACUUGAGUGCAGAAGAGGAGAGUGGAAUUCCAUGUGUAGCGGUGAAAUGCGUAGAUAUAUGGAGGAACACCAGUGGCGAAGGCGGCUCUCUGGUCUGUAACUGACGCUGAGGCUCGAAAGCGUGGGGAGCAAACAGGAUUAGAUACCCUGGUAGUCCACGCCGUAAACGAUGAGUGCUAAGUGUUGGAGGGUUUCCGCCCUUCAGUGCUGCAGCUAACGCAUUA